GUAGGGAAUAUUGGACAAUGGGGGGAACCCUGAUCCAGCCAUGCCGCGUGGAGGAAGACUGCCCUCUGGGUUGUAAACUCCUUUUAUAUGGGAAGAACCGUCCUCAUUAAUGAGUGACCUGACGGUACCAUAGGAAUAAGCACCGGCUAACUCCGUGCCAGCAGCCGCGGUAAUACGGAGGGUGCAAGCGUUAUCCGGAUUCACUGGGUUUAAAGGGUGCGUAGGCGGAUAAAUAAGUCAGUGGUAAAAUCAACGGGCUCAACCUGUUAACUGCCAUUGAUACUGUGUAUCUUGAAUAUGAGAGAGGUAGGCGGAAUGUUGCAUGUAGCGGUGAAAUGCUUAGAUAUGCUACGGAACACCGAUUGCGAAGGCAGCUUACUAUUUCGUAAUUGACGCUGAGGCACGAAAGCGUGGGUAGCGAACAGGAUUAGAAACCCCUGUAGUCC
rnacentral:rRNA from 1 species